rnacentral:rRNA from 1 species
ACGAGGUGCUUUUUGUAGCAAUACGAGAAGUAUCCUAGUGGCGAACGGGUGAGUAACGCGUUGGUGACCUACCCCAAAGUGUGGGAUAACAGUUCGAAAGAACUGCUAAUACCGCAUGUGGUUAUCGGGUUUAGAAACCGAUAACUAAAGGAGCAAUUCGCUUUGGGAGGGACCUGCGUCCCAUCAGCUAGUUGGUGAGGUAACGGCUCACCAAGGCGACGACGGGUAGGGGACCUGAGAGGGUGACCCCCCACAAUGGAACUGAAACACGGUCCAUACACCUACGGGUGGCAGCAGUAGGGAAUAUUGCUCAAUGGGCGAAAGCCUGAAGCAGCAACGCCGCGUGCGCGAUGAAGGUCUUCGGAUCGUAAAGCGCUUUUAUGAGGGAUGAGAACGGACAGUACCUCAGGAAUAAGUCUCGGCUAACUACGUGCCAGCAGCCGCGGUAAAACGCAGGAGGCAAGCGUUAUCCGGAUUCACUGGGCGUAAAGCGCGUGCAGGCGGUUCGGUAAGUUGGGCGUGAAAUCUCCUGGCUUAACUAGGAGAGGUCGUCCAAUACUACCGGGCUAGAGAGUGGUAGAGGAAAAUGGAAUUCCCGGUGUAGUGGUGAAAUGCGUAGAUAUCAGGAGGAACACCAGUGGCGAAAGCGAUUUUCUGGACCAUUUCUGACGCUCAGACGCGAAAGCUAGGGUAGUAAACGGGAUUAGAGACCCCGGUAAUCCUAGCCGUAACGAUGUAAACUUGGCGUUGGUGGCUUAAACACCAUCAGUGCCGCAGCUAACGCGAUAAGUUUACCGCC